GCUACCUAACCCGAAAUCCCAAACUUAUACUAUGCUAAAACUAUAUAUUGAAAUCUUAAAAUCAAGCCCAAAUUAAUGAACAAAAUGAUGUUAUGAACGACUUGUAGCAGAUGGGCCUUGUGGCCAGCAGGCCUAGCCCAUACACGAAGUAGGCCCAGGUAAGCAAUGCUUCCUCCAUUCACCAUCAAAUCCCUAAAAUGGGGACAGGGAAUAUAAUUCGAGGGGACAAUUGAUAUAGGCGGCAAUGGUUCAGUUCUAAAUCAAUUAAGCAAUUUUGACAUAAUUGACCCUUAAACAGUUUGUAAUUAAUGGGAUUUAUGCAACAAAUUUGAAAUGGCAAAAAGACUCAGCUACAUGAUUUCCUACGGACCAUAUAUGACCGAAGCAACAAUUCAUAUUCUAAACAACUCGUUAAGUUUAGAUGAUUCAUACUACAUGAAACACAAAAUCAUUUUAAACCUGAUUUUUAUAACUAUUCGAAAACAAAAUGGCUUGAGAACUAACGGUUAUUAACAUUAUUACCAAAUUUGUUCCAUAAGUAUUCAAAUUAACAUCUUUCACUUAAAUGACUCAAAAUCUCAUGGAUAAACUAUUGAAAUAGCCUACUGAAGCUUGGAUAGGUGUUUAUAGUUAAUAAAAAUUAGGCUACUCUAUAUAGUAAUGUUCAGAUAACCAAAUAUCUAAUACAGUUCACUACAAAUCGGGGAUUAAAUCAGCCCCAAAUCACUUAAAGGAAACAGUCUUAAUUACAAACCAUAUUUAACUAUAAUUGGGCAACCAACUGAUCACGUGAAAAUCAUCCAAACAUGACAGAAAUAUCAAACAUCAGAUUUAUGUCAUAAACUUCAUUUUCAAUUCACUGUCCAGCAGGAGAUCUAUACUGAAACAAGCUCGAAUGUGUACCUGGAAUUCGAAUUGAAAUGGACAGAGGAGAAGUUAAGAGAAGUAACAACUUCAAUAACAAUUCAAAACCAAUUUACAACCCAACAACAACCAAUGAAGGAGUAAUAACAGCUCACAGUUCAAAGAUGAGUUUAAAAAUCAAGUAAACUCAAUAAAUUAGCCCACAACAGCACCAGAUAGCCAGAAUUAACCCAAUGAAUCAGUGUACUCAGCAAUAACCUUCAAUUGACUCUAAUUAACCAAUCAAUAAUACUCAAAUGACUCCAAAAUAAUUUCAGAUUGAACAGAAACAUGAAACUCGAGCUAUUUUUUUAAAUGAACUAGAAGACUGGAAUUAGAAAAUAUCUGCUAAGGAAGGCAAUGAAACAAUGUAGUUUUUAGAAAACUCAUUUCUUUCUGAAAAAUCCUAUCAAAGACUCACUCUAUAUUUUCAAAAAAUCUCACUUGUGUCUCCUCCCUCUUUCUUAAACUUCAGCCUCUAUAUAUAUAAGUUUUCAAUCCCUUUUUUCCCGAAUUUUCAGGCACUUUCAGUGGUCAGUCAAUUAGUCCUUAAAAUCAGCCUUAGUGCAGUCUCCACUACUAAUUGUCUUUUAUCUUUUUAAUUUCACUCAGAGUUACAUCCAAUUAUUUCAUUAGCAGCCUUUAAUUUAACUACUAGUGGUUUAAAUUUCAGUUAACCCCUGAAAUACCCCUAAAAUCCCCUAUGAAUUACUGGCCCUAACCUCCUUUUAAUCUAUAUUUAAAAAUAUCAGCUAUAACCAAUUCAGCUUAUCAAUCAACUAAGCCUGAUUCCUAAUUAAUCAGCUUACUUGUAUUUGAACCAGAAUCACAUUAAUACUAAACAAGAAAGCUCAACAACAGUUUAAACUUUGAGUAAAUAGCACAAUUCAGAAUAAAACAAGAAUAAUAAAUGAACAUUGUGAUAAUAAACUGAUUUCAUAUGCUAAACGAUAGACAAUGGAGAGAGAGGAACCAAAUAUAACUCAAAAGAAACAAUUUGAACCAAUGAUAAUACCAAACAAUUACAGGAGUAGCCAUGGUUUUAUACAAGGCUGAGUAAUUCGAAUUAUGUAAACAAAAUAAAGAAGAAAUAGAACAGAUGAAACAACGCACAAACACUACCAUUCUUGGAUUUAACACAAACAUGAAUUAGCUACAAGAACGAACUAAUGAACGAAACUUAAUUAAGUGAUUUGACAGUAUAACAUAUACUAAUCAAUCAGAAGAAAAUCUGGACCAAGAAAAGGGUCCAGAAGAAAAGAAAAAGAUAAUUGAAAAAACAAAAAAAAUCAAUCAGACAAAAAUACAACUUAACACAUACAAGCAAACAUAUAGAAAAAAAAAUAGAAGGAGAAGUUAAGAAGAACUUACUGUUUUUUUCAAGAAUCCCACAAUCAUGCCCUUUCGAACUUGAAUUCCAGUUAGUAUUAUACGACUAUUUCAUCGGAAACAGGCCUAUAAUACUAACUAGAAUCCAUUCGACCCUAACAACUUUGAAAUAGUCAAAUCGCUGAAAUCUAGAUCCUUCAAUCAUAAGUUUGACUCGGAUUUGAACUAAAUUGGUUAAGGAUUAGGGAUGAGGAGCCAAGGGGAUUAUUGGGUGUGAUUUUUGGGGUUAGUGGAUGACCUAGGGUUUUGGUUAUGAUCUUUGAUCGAAGAUUCGAAAAGUUCUAUCACGAUUCAAGGAACAAGGGUCAUAGAUUUGGAUUAAGGAAGGCUCGGGGGUUCAGGGUAAUUAUUUGGGUGGCAGAUGGCGUUGUUGCCGCAGGGUUUCAGGCGAAGGGGUGGGGUGGCGGCUAGGGUUUCAUGGUUGCUUGGUUCGAGUCUCUGAACUCAGAGACGAAAGAAAGGUCUGGCUAUAGGGGGUGGGGUGAGAGAUAGGAUUAUAUACUAAAGGAAAUAUUUAAUCUCGACCGUUAGAUCAUUUAAAAUCAAUGGUCCGGAUGAACUUUCGUAAGUG
rnacentral:lncRNA from 1 species